AUUGAACGCUGGCGGCAGGCCUAACACAUGCAAGUCGAGCGAGCGGCGGACGGGUGAGUAAUGUAUGGGGACUGCCCGAUAGCGGGGGAUCACUACUGGAAACGGUAGCUAAUACCGCAUCCUAUCGGAUAACCCAUAUGGGAUUAGCUAGUUGGUGCGGUAAUGGCUCACAAAGGCGACGAUCCCUAGCUGGUCUGAGAGGAUGAUCAGCCAAACGGGGAUGGGGACACGCCCCAGAUUCCUACGGAGGCAGAAGUGGGGAAUAUUGCACAAUGGGCGAAAGCCUGAUGCAGCCAUGCCGCGUGGAUGAAGAAGGCCCUAGGGUUGUAAAGUACGUUCAGUCGGGAGGCGGUACCGACAGAAGAAGCACCGGCUAACUCCGUGCCAGCAGCCGCGGUAAUUC
rnacentral:rRNA from 1 species